UAUUUCUCACACCUCUCUCUCUCUCUCUCUCUCUCUCUCAGCUUGUUCUCAAUGAAAAAAGCGAGGCAGAAACUUGCACAAGGUUACCUUCGAGCUAUCAUGGAAGGUCGCUGGAAAGACGGAAUUCGUAGAGGAGAAGAAGCAUUCAUCGUCGGCGACGGACUCGUCGGUGCAGCUUGGAGGUCCGUCGGAGCCGCGACUUGUUCGUGCUAAUCGGGCUCUAUCCUACCUGAGCUUUUUUCGAGUAGUCUUUCAAUUCUUCACCACCCAACCCAUUUCUUUGAACCUUCUUUUUUUCACUGUCUUUCUUUUUUAUCUCUUCUUGACCUUGUAAGACCUUUUCUUGACCUUGUAAGACCCCGUGCCGUGUUUUCUUUCUUUCUUUUCUACUUUGCCCCGAACUUUAUACUGGGAUUUCCCAGUUUAGGGUUCGAUUGUUGUGUGUCCCCGUCCCCGCCCAACCCGCCGUCUCCUUCCGUGUCUAUCCCUCCUGAGCUGUUUGAAUUAGAUUAGCACAUGCAUCGACCCGAUCGAUCAACCGAUCUCCUCGGCCAUCAUAGAAACUGUGUUUUGUACAUGCAGGGAGCUUCUGAAGAUCAUUAAUAAUUUUUGCUACAUGUAAACAGCUAGCUAAUUAACCAACUAGCUAGCAAGAAGAAGUACUGUUUGUGUGAGGUAAGAGUUGUAAAAGAGCAGGAGUUCUACUUAAGAUCAUUAAUAUGAGUUCUCUUGUUGUUAUCCAAACAGUACUCUCUCUCUCUCUCUCUCCCUAAAUUCUUAAGGGUCAUCAAGUAGAAUUGUAUUAUGUGGGCAGCAGUUUCGUUGUUUUAUAUGUUGUUGUGAGAGAAAAAGUGAGGGAGAGAAUAAAUAUUCUUUUGCAGAUC